UACGUAGGGGGCUAGCGUUGUCCGGAAUCAUUGGGCGUAAAGCGCGCGUAGGCGGCCCGGUAAGUCCGCUGUAAAAGUCAAAGGCUCAACCUUUGAAUGUCAGUGGAUACUGCCGGGCUAGAGUCCGGAAGAGGCGAGUGGAACUCCUGGUGUAGCGGUGGAAUGCGCAGAUAUCAGGAAGAACACCGACGGCGAAGGCGGCUCUCUAGUACGGUACUGACGCUGAGACGCGAAAGCGUGGGAGCAAACAGG
rnacentral:rRNA from 1 species